CCAAGGCGACGACGGGUAGCCGGCCUGAGAGGGUGACCGGCCACACUGGGACUGAGACACGGCCCAGACUCCUACGGGAGGCAGCAGUGGGGAAUAUUGCACAAUGGGCGAAAGCCUGAUGCAGCGACGCCGCGUGAGGGAUGACGGCCUUCGGGUUGUAAACCUCUUUCAGUAGGGAACAAGGCCAGCUUUUUGGUUGGUUGAGGGUACUUGCAGAAGAAGCGCCGGCUAACUACGUGCCAGCAGCCGCGGUAAUACGUAGGGCGCAAGCGUGAUCCGGAAUUAUUGGGCGUAAAGAGCUCGUAGGCGGUUUGUCGCGUCUGCCGUGAAAGUCCGGGGCUCAACUCCGGAUCUGCGGUGGGUACGGGCAGGCUAGAGUGAUGUAGGGGAGACUGGAAUUCCUGGUGUAGCGGUGAAAUGCGCAGAUAUCAGGAGGAACACCGAUGGCGAAGGCAGGUCUCUGGGCAUUAACUGACGCUGAGGAGCGAAAGCAUGGGGAGCGAACAGGAUUAGAUACCCUGGUAGUCCAUGCCGUAAACGUUGGGCACUAGGUGUGGGGGACAUUCCACGUUUUCCGCGCCGUAGCUAACGCAUUAAGUGCCCCGCCUGGGGAGUACGGCCGCAAGGCUAAAACUCAAAGGAAUUGACGGGGGCCCGCACAAGCGGCGGAGCAUGCGGAUUAAUUCGAUGCAACGCGAAGAACCUUACCAAGGCUUGACAUGAACUGGAAAUACCUGGAAACAGGUGCCCCGCUUGCGGUCGGUUUACAGGUGGUGCAUGGUUGUCGUCAGCUCGCGUCGUGAGAUGUUGGGUUAAGUCCCGCAACGAGCGCAACCCUCGUUCUAUGUUGCCAGCACGUUAUGGUGGGGACUCAUAGGAGACUGCCGGGGUCAACUCGGAGGAAGGUGAGGACGACGUCAAAUCAUCAUGCCCCUUAUGUCUUGGGCUUCACGCAUGCUACAAUGGCCGGUACAAUGGGUUGCGAUACUGUGAGGUGGAGCUAAUCCCAAAAAGCCGGUCUCAGUUCGGAUUGGGGUCUGCAACUCGACCCCAUGAAGUCGGAGUCGUUAGUAAUCGCAGAUCAGCAACGCUGCGGUGAAUACGUUCCCGGGCCUUGUACACACCGCCCGUCAAGUCACGAAAGUUGGUAACACCCGAAGCCGGUGGCCU
rnacentral:rRNA from 1 species